rnacentral:sRNA from 1 species
GCUUUCAUUCCAAAAAGCGUCCGUACAGGCAGCUCAAACUGCUUGAACGGACGCUUUUUUCAUGG